CCUAGGGAGGCAGUAGUGAGGAAGAGUGGUCAAGGGGCGCGAGCCGGAACCAGCCAAGUAGCGUGAAGGAGGACGGCCCUACGGGUUGUAAACUUCUGUUAUAAAGGAAGAAAGUGAGGCACGUGUGCCGUUUGGUAUGUACUGGAUGAAUAAGGAGCGGCUAACUCCGUGCCCGCAGCAGCGGUAAUACGGAGGAUCCGAGCUUUAGCCGGAUUUAUGGGGUUUAAAGGGAGCGUAGAGGGGUUGUUAAGUCAGUUGUGAACGUUUGCGGCUCAACCGUAAAAUUGCAAUUGAUACUGGCAGUCUUGAGUACAGUUGAGGUAGGCGGAAUUCGUGGUGUAGCGGUGAAAUGCUUAGCUAUCACGAAGAACUCCGAUUGCGAAGGCAGCUUACUACACUGCCACUGCCAUUGCUGCUCGAACGUGUGGGUAUCAAACAGGAUUAGAUACCCCAGUAGUC
rnacentral:rRNA from 1 species